rnacentral:lncRNA from 1 species
AAGGCUUUUAAUAUUCUUUCCUUGUGCGAGAUACACUAUUUUAGGUAUGCUGACUGUCUGAAAACUGAUCUCAGAAUUGGAUGCGUCUCUCCAAAAAGUCCUACCAGCUUUACUCCACGGUGAGGCAGUAAAUAUCGAUAUGUCCUACAUGGUGUAUGUGGCGUGUGAGAUGGGGUUUCUCACAGAGCAGGAGAAGUUCAGGAUCGUCUGUUGCAUGCUGGGACUGGAGUUGCCGGUGUGGCAUCAAGACUGCACCUUUGCUUUGGUUCAGAAAUCUCUGUGUGACAGACUACAGCACUCCGGAGGGUUUGUGAGAAUGCCUUUACCAACANNCCUCGGAAGAGCAGAAAUCUUCAACGACACUGAUGAAGGCACUCUGUUCCAGGCGUACGAGAAGUGGUGCGAUGAACUGAGCACUGGUUCACUUCAAUGAGACUUCAGCCAAUGUUUACAUAUAGGGGAGCCUCUUAGCUUUAACAAUUUAUACGCAUGAAUAAAUGGAUAGAUUUUGUUUCCUUUUUAUUUUGUAUACAUUUAAGUGUUUUACAUUUAAAACAAUUGCUUCUCAUUACUAUAAUUGCCAUUUUUGUAAAUGGCUGUGAAUAGAAGAAGGCUGACUUGAUAUGUGAAGAUUUUUCUUUAGUUGUGUUUAAGGGUUUCUUUCCCAUCAUUUCAUAUUUGAUAAAGGGACAUUUAGGUUAAUAAUUAAAUCAUUUAUUAAAAUGUGAAAAAUUCUGCCUGAUGUGUUGGAUGUAAUGCAUGCAAGUUUAUAAUAAACAAUUUACUUAUUAACAACGUCUCUGUUAUGAUGAGAAAGAUGUAUUAUGUUUCACAGCAUCAUGAAAACCGUCACAAAUACCACAGAUAUGUGUGGAAAACAUGACACCAUUGGUCUGGUAUUCAAUAUAUGUCCUCUUGUGUUUAU